UAUUUUGUUAUUUAUUACCCAAUUAUACUUCAGUUUGGUUCCAGUCACACUCAGGCUACAUGUUUCCCACCUCUGAAAAAGGAAGUCACACUGUGAGUAAUGGUCCCAGAGAAUAGAAAAUGAAGUCUACCUACCUUCUUUAAGCCAAACAAUAUCAGAUUGACAUAUGGAGUUUAAGGAAUGUUUUGGGUUGAAGAAAAAUGAUCAUUUGGAGUUUGCUUUGGCUGAUUCUGACCCUGCUACAACAGAGCCAUUUUAUAAACUCAACAAAGUUUAAAGGAAAUUCCAUUUUGAAUAUCCUCUCAAAGCCAAGUGUACUAUUUAUCAAGGGUGACAUAGAGGGGCAGCUUGACCUCAUUCUCUCCUA